rfam:Schistosoma mansoni strain Puerto Rico chromosome W, complete genome
GCGUCGGUGUUUCAAUGGUAGAAUGCUCGUCUGCCACGCGGGCGGUCCGGGUUCGAUUCCCAGCCAACGCA